GAGCGAUGUGAAAUUACUGAUACUGAAGUGAAUUUAUACAUUUCAUGAUGGUUUCUACACUUGAACUGAGCUCA
rnacentral:snoRNA from 14 species